AUCGGGAUAACCCCGCUAACUGCGAGGCUAAUAUCUGUCCGAAGAUCCCUCGUGACCAUUUAAGCGCGCAGGGGGGUAACUCUCUGUUGUCGCGGUCCGGGGAGCGUUUCGCCGGAACAAAAACCGACGCCCUUACGGGCAGUUUUGAUUGUUGAGGCAGGCGAAUGUCGCGAAAGCGUUCGCGCGAUGUUGGACGAAUUUACCACCUAUCAGGUUGAAGGUAGUAUAGUUGACUACCUUGCUACUGAUGGGUAACGGGGAAUUGGGGUUUGAUUCCGGAGAGGGUGCUUGAGAAAUGGCAACCAUGACUACGGUCAGCAGCAGGCGCGCAAAUUGCCCAAUGCCAACACAUGGCGAGGCAGCGACGAAAAAUAAUAACUUUGUUGUUCGAAUGAGCAUCAGAGAUUGCAAUGAGCUGUAUCUAGUAGAUACUGACGAGGAUCCAUUGGAGGGCAAGUCUGGUGCCAGCAGCCGCGGUAAUUCCAGCUCCAAGAGCGUAUAUAAAUGUUGUUGCGGUUAAAAAGCCCGUAGUUGGAUUUGAGGGCAUCGUCUGUGGGGCGACCCGCCGGUUCUUCCGGAGGGACCCGCUUCACAACAUGGCGGUGCUCUGUUGUAUGCGGGAACGGAAGUCAAGCCAGGGCUCUCUACGGAGUGUUCUGGCGCCUUCGGAGUCAUCACGCUCCAAGACUCGCCCGCAGACGUCACUGUGAGUAAAACAGAGUGUUCAAGGCAACCGUUUGUCCGGUUGAAUGUUGAAGCAUGGAAUGACAAGGGAUCGACCGCUUGAGGCCUUCUUUGUUGGUUUUUAACCUUAAGUGAGGCAAACCUGUGGGAGAGAUGUCCACUUGAGCCUCGUGCUUGGGUGGCACUCUUUCACUUCCGGGAUCAAGAGGAGCACAGGGGGCCGUGAGUACUGGGGGGCUAGUGGUGAAAUACUGAGACCCUCCCAAGACUGACAUCAGCGAAAGCACUCGGCUAUUGUGCUUUCAUUAAUCAAGGACGAGAGAUAGGGGAUCGAAGAGGAUUAGACACCCUCGUAGUCCUUUCCUUAAAUUCUGCAGACUUGGGAUCGGUCAGUGCUCUCUUUCUUGACCUGAUCGGCACCUUCUUUUCCUUCCGAGAAAUCAAAGUCUUUGUGUUCCGGGGGGAGUACAUUCGCAAGGCUGAAACUUAAAGGAAUUGACGGAGAACCACCACCAGUCGUGGAUUGUGUGGCUUAAUUCGACCCAACACGGGAAAUUUUACCAGCACAGGACACGGUCAGGAUUGCCAAGUUAAAGCCUUUGCUUGAUUCCGUGAAGGGUGGUGCAUGGCCGCUUUUGGUUGGUGAAUGUGAUUUGUCUGCUUAAUUGCGAUAACGAACGAGAUCUCUGCCAAUUACUAGAGACU
rnacentral:rRNA from 1 species